AGCUUUGCGCAGUGGCAGCAUCGUAGCCAAUGAGGUUUAUCCGAGGCGCGAUUAUUGCUAAUUGAAGAUUCCUUUAAACUAGGAAAAGUCAGCCACUAUUUCAAGUGGCCGUUUGAUGGGGUCCCGGGCUUAGCACUCAUCGGG
rnacentral:snRNA from 1 species